CACACCGCCCGUCACACCAUGGGAGUCGACUGCCUCCAGAAGUGGACCUGAAGGCCAACCCGCAAGGGAGGCAGGUCCCCAAGGAGUGGUCGGUAACUGGGGUG
rnacentral:rRNA from 1 species